GGUAACAGGAACAGAAGAUGUUCUUGCGGUAGAAAUUUGUGCGCAGGAUUGGGAGUGGUGCGACGCGCCUGUAAAAAAGUUUAGUUGAUCCCCACGCCGCCAGAUGCCGAGCUUACCUAAUUUCUGGCUCUUUGAGAUUUGCGUAAGGACUCACUUUUAUGCAACAUUUUUCUUUUUUGUCUUCAGCGCUUUUUCGGAGAACGAAUACUCAGUGCCAGCUGGGAGAGCUUUCAAAGUCGACCGCUUUCGAAACGCUUUUUUUUACACGUUAGCUGCACGUCUUGAAGGCAGCGUUACGUAGCCCAUUGAAUUAGUCGUGGUGGUGUAAGAGGACAAAGAAUUACGGAUGAUCCUUAAGCCAGAAAUAAAUAGAGGGUGAUUGAAAGUCAAGGGGUUGUAUGUACUACUGGCCAUUCUCUGCGGCAAAGAGGCCGAUGGCUGUUCUACCUAGUACCGAACGAAGGUCAGCUCUUUGGAACUGGGUACGCCAAAAGGAAGUGCUUGGAAAUACGGCUGAUAUGUAGAUGCGAUGAAGCACCCAGAGUUCGCCACUUCACCGAUCGCCAUGACCACACUGGUCGUUAUGGUGGUGGCGCUAGUGGCCUCGCUGGGGAUAGUGGAAGCUGCAAAGAACGAGCAAGGCAGGUGCAAUGAGCACUUCUGCCGCACUCUGUGCGUCGCCUGGCGCCACCUGACGGGAGUGUGUCUCGAGUUCUGGCCGUACAGGAACGAGAAGAGGUGCCACUGCUCGGACGUUUGGUUCCGUCCACCAAAACGAAGGGGCGCCCCUGGAAGGUACAACAAAAUAUGGAAGUAUUGAGUCUGUUUAGAGGCAGGCACAGUACGUCCAUGUAGAAGAGUUAACUUUAGCGCAGAAGGCACACUCGGGUUAGUUGGUCACAUGUUGGGACAUUUGAAGAAUACAAGCUGACACGUAGUUUCAAGGUUGUAUAAACGCUAUCACGCGCUCUUCACGCGUAAAAGGGUGACAUUAGUAAGUACGAAAGUUGAGAAACAGAUACUUUUAUUUGAUACUAGAUUGUCGUCUUCGCGUGCUAUAGAGCUGGCAUCAUCGACAUUAUUAUGGCGUCGUGACAGAUGGCUAAAUUUGCUGGCAUACUGUGUCAAUUCGUAACAUGGUUUUGAUACAGUAUAGUCAUAUGAAUAUUUAGGAAUACCCAUCUCUUUUGAGUUAGCGUGACAGUUACAUGCACAUUCAGCCAUCGCAAAAACUACCUGCAGUCUUGGUUACAUUCGAAGAAAUGUUUACUUUGCUCCUGUAGCUCUAAAAAAAAUUUAAUAAUUUUAAUUUGGCUUCCUUUCUUGCUUUAUACUACAUUUUAUUGUUAUUGAGUAACAUUUGCAUAAUCCGUGUUUAUAUUAUCAUUGUUAUUGUUGCAUUGCACUUGUAAUAGUAUCCUGUUUAUUUCUUCCAGUCUUUCACUGCGAUUUUUAACAGAAAGUUUUAUACCGUAUUUAUGUAUAUUUGUGUUGUAUUGCUAACGUACCCGCCCUCCAUCCCCCUCUCUCUCUGUAAUGUUGAAAGGCUCUGAGGUUAAAAUAAAUGAAAUAAAACGGAAUACGACUUGGUAUAAUCAUAUUGCUCACACACAAAAAAAGAUCAAACAAGAGUGCUGUGUGCAUUAUUUCUGGCUCUAUAUACGCCCACUUGUAGCAGCCGCAGCGAUUGCCGAAUCGAACGAGCAAGCGUAUCAUGACGUAAGCAUCCAUCCAUCCAUAGAGUUUACUACAAUCACUAGAGA